GGAGUAUAAUAUUAAAUUUGAGAAGUAUUAAAUAUAGAUAAACAAUGAAAGUACAAUUUUGUUUACCAAAUUGACUGACCAUUAGAGAAGCUGAAUCAUCAUAAGUACAUUAAUGACAAUAAGUUAUGAGCUGGAAGGAGAUACCGUGUGAUGGAUGGAAAUUGAGCUGUAACAGAGAGUUUCUCCUCAAUUUCCCUUCUCUUCUUACUGUCAUGUACUUUCACUUUCAUUCUCUCUAUAAAUAUAUCUCAACUUGUUCAACUUGUUUUUUGUCUCACUCAUAAUCUUCUUUCACAUAGUUACCUAUUACAAGCCAUUCACUUUAUGUGUACAUGAAAUUUAACACCUUGUUUUGCAUGUUUGCUACUCUACUCUUCACUGUUCUGUUCUAGUCACACCGCAAAAUCAAAUCCUUCAUUUUAAACACUACUGUACUAGAAAUCUCAACUAUGAAGCACAAGUACUCCUUGGAUUAGGGUUGUCCUGGUGUCGGAUACGCCUGGGUGUCCGACACUGACACCGACACAACACCUAUAGUUACAUUGAAUUAUGUCAUUUUCUCAAAUUAUUAUCCGUGUCGUGUCUAGUGUUCGUGUUUGUGUAUGUGCUUCAUAGGUUCUCAAUAUGCAUAUUGCAUACACACAUGCACUUUCACUCUAUAUUCUUUUUCAUACUUGAAACUAGUUCAUAUGAUGGUCUUUUCCAUUCUUUGUUUGAUCAUUCCUUUUAAAUGAUCAUUAUGUGAGUACAUGUUCAAAAAUUUCUUAAAGAAUGAAACAAUAUUUUAAAAAACUGAACUAGACCUUUCAACAAGUCGAGCUAUGAUUUGGAGGUCUCGUUGAUUCAGUGUCUAGUUCGGUUUUUAAAACAUUGGAUUGAACAUUAAUAGAAAAUUGAUAUGAAACAUUUUAUUUUAAGGUCAGUCCAUGGAAUCAGAUGUUUGAAGUAACUACUGGGGUUUGAAUUAAGGAUUCAAUCAAUGAAGUACUUGAACAGAACAAUGAAGAGAAAAGGAGCACACAAACAAAACAUGGUGCUUAUUUCUAACUUUAGUAUUUAAUGUGAGUGGCUGGUAAUAGUUGAAUAUGUAAGAAGAAAAAUUGGUGGUAUGUGAAGUUAUCUCAGCAAAGUUUCUCCAGUGACAAACCAUGAUCAGAAGUAAAAAGGGUCGUAUCUCAUGCAAUGCAAAGCAGGACUCUCAACAGAUAAUUUAUCAGGAAAGAUCAUCUGAAAUAUGAAUUAGCUUAUGUUUGGAAUCCAUCUUCUUCGCAGACGUGUCAUGUCUCAAUGUCAUUCUAGGGUGACAUUAAAAAGCUACAAACAUGAUCUUCAAGCAUGCCGCGCGUUCAAGAUCUAUUCACUGUGUAAAGAAAACAAACAUGCACUUUUUUGUAUUGCAUCUUGUCAUAUUGAUCACCUAUGCUUGAACCAAAGCACUUGGUGCAAUAAGGACAUUCCAUAAAUACUUUUUUUAUUGGUGGUGUAUUCCAUAAAUAGUUUAAUUUUAAGCAGAAGUCCUUGAAGAUUCAAGUUAAUUUUCUGCUAUAAAUUAUGUACUAGUUGAAGAUACAUCAUUGUUAAUUGUGCCAGUUUUGAAAUGCUGAACUAAAUUCCAUUUAUUAAGUGUUACCAUGGUGAUAGUAAAAUGCUUCCCAGAUCCCGAUUUUUUCUGUCUCCAAAGUCAGGGUCUCAUUUCUUUGCAAAAAGAAUUUUAGGAAUAUUUAAACUAAUUUGGUUCAUUCAUGUGACACUUUGCCUAAAAGCAUGUUAGAAGCUGCUCAUUGAACAUGCCUCCUGAACCGGAAAUCACUCCCCACCCUCAUCCUCGGGCUUCACACAAUGAAAUGUACCCCAUCUACAUUUUAGGUUCUGUUAUUCACUUAUUCUUCCAUCUGGUUCAUUAAAGAAUUAAAAAAUCUAUGUAUGAAUACUGAUACAAAGUUUAACUGACAAA